rnacentral:rRNA from 1 species
UACGUAGGGUGCGAGCGUUGUCCGGAAUUAUUGGGCGUAAAGAGCUUGUAGGCGGUUUGUCGCGUCUGCCGUGAAAUUUCGAGGCUCAACCUCGAACUUGCGGUGGGUACGGGCAGGCUAGAGUGUGGUAGGGGAGACUGGAAUUCCUGGUGUAGCGGUGAAAUGCGCAGAUAUCAGGAGGAACACCAAUAGCGAAGGCAGCUCGCUGGGACGUUACUGACACUGAGGCGCGAAAGCGUGGGGAGCGAACAGG